rnacentral:rRNA from 1 species
AUUGAACGCUGGCGGCAUGCUUUACACAUGCAAGUCGAACGGUAACAGGGAGCUUGCUCCGCUGACGAGUGGCGAACGGGUGAGUAAUGCGUCGGAACGUGCCGAGUAGUGGGGGAUAACGCAUCGAAAGGUGUGCUAAUACCGCAUACGAACUGAGGUUGAAAGUGGGGGACCUUCGGGCCUCACGCUAUUCGAGCGGCCGACGUCUGAUUAGCUAGUUGGUGAGGUAAAGGCUCACCAAGGCGACGAUCAGUAGCGGGUCUGAGAGGAUGAUCCGCCACACUGGGACUGAGACACGGCCCAGACUCCUACGGGAGGCAGCAGUGGGGAAUUUUGGACAAUGGGCGCAAGCCUGAUCCAGCCAUGCCGCGUGUCUGAAGAAGGCCUUCGGGUUGUAAAGGACUUUUGUCCGGGAGGAAAUCCCUAGUGCUAAUAACACUGGGGGAUGACAGUACCUGAAGAAUAAGCACCGGCUAACUACGUGCCAGCCGCCGCCGUAACAC